rnacentral:rRNA from 1 species
GUCCACGCCGUAAACGAUGGAAGCUAGCCGUUGGCAAGUUUACUUGUCGGUGGCGCAGCUAACGCAUUAAGCUUCCCGCCUGGGGAGUACGGUCGCAAGAUUAAACUCAAAGGAAUUGACGGGGCCCGCACAAGCGGUGGAGCAUGUGGUUUAAUUCGAAGCAACGCGCAGAACCUUACCAGCCCCUUGACAUCCCCGGUCGCGGUUUUCCAGAGAUGGAAACCUUUCAGUUCGGCUGGACCGGUGACAGGUGCUGCAUGGCUGUCGU